GUCCACGCCCUAAACGAUGCGAACUGGAUGUUGGUCUCAACUCGGAGAUCAGUGUCGAAGCUAACGCGUUAAGUUCGCCGCCUGGGGAGUACGGUCGCAAGACUGAAACUCAAAGGAAUUGACGGGGGCCCGCACAAGCGGUGGAGUAUGUGGUUUAAUUCGAUGCAACGCGAAGAACCUUACCUGGCCUUGACAUGUCCGGAAUCCUGCAGAGAUGCGGGAGUGCCUUCGGGAAUCGGAACACAGGUGCUGCAUGGCUGUCGU
rnacentral:rRNA from 1 species